ACGGCUACCUUGUUACGACUUCACCCCAGUCAUGAAUCACUCCGUGGUAACCGUCCCCCUUGCGGUUAGACUAGCUACUUCUGGAGCAACCCACUCCCAUGGUGUGACGGGCGGUGUGUACAAGGCCCGGGAACGUAUUCACCGUGACAUUCUGAUUCACGAUUACUAGCGAUUCCGACUUCACGCAGUCGAGUUGCAGACUGCGAUCCGGACUACGAUCGGUUUUAUGGGAUUAGCUCCACCUCGCGGCUUGGCAACCCUUUGUACCGACCAUUGUAGCACGUGUGUAGCCCUGGCCGUAAGGGCCAUGAUGACUUGACGUCAUCCCCACCUUCCUCCGGUUUGUCACCGGCAGUCUCCUUAGAGUGCCCACCAUAACGUGCUGGUAACUAAGGACAAGGGUUGCGCUCGUUACGGGACUUA
rnacentral:rRNA from 1 species